rnacentral:rRNA from 1 species
AUUGAACGCUGGCGGCGUGCUUAACACAUGCAAGUCGAACGCGUGGCGAACGGGUGAGUAAUGUCUGGGAAACUGCCUGCUGGAGGGGGAUAACUACUGGAAACGGUAGCUAAUACCGCAUACCAUCGGAUGUGCCCAGAUGGGAUUAGCUAGUAGGUGGGGUAACGGCUCACCUAGUCGACGAUCCCUAGCUGGUCUGAGAGGAUGACCAGCCACACUGGAACUGAGACACGGUCCAGACUCCUACGGGAGGGAGCAGUGGAGAAUAUUGCACAAUGGGCGCAAGCCUGAUGCAGCCAUGCCGCGUGUAUGAAGAAGGCCUUCGGGUUGUAAAGUACUUUCAGCGGGGAGGCGUUACCCGCAGAAGAAGCACCGGCUAACUCCGGGCCAGCAGCCGCGGUAAUAC